UACAGAGGGUGCGAGCGUUAAUCGGAAUUACUGGGCGUAAAGCGUGCGUAGACGGUUUCGUAAGUCGGGUGUGAAAUCCCCGGGCUCAACCUGGGAAUUGCAUUCGAAACUGCGAGGCUAGGGUACGGAAGAGGGAAGCGGAAUUUCUGGUGUAGCGGUGAAAUGCGUAGAUAUCAGAGGGAACAUCAGUGGCGAAAGCGGCUUCCUGGUCCAGUACCGACGUUCAGGCACGAAAGCGUGGGGAGCAAACAGG
rnacentral:rRNA from 1 species